rnacentral:rRNA from 1 species
CCUACGGGAGGCAGCAGUGAGGAAUAUUGGUCAAUGGACGAAAGUCUGAACCAGCCAAGUAGCGUGCAGGAUGACUGCCCUAUGGGUUGUAAACUUCUUUUAUAUGGGAAUAAAAUGUUACACGUGUGGGAUUUUGUAUGUACCAUAUGAAUAAGGAUCGGCUAACUCCGUGCCAGCAGCCGCGGUAAUACGGAGGAUCCGCGCGUUAUCCGGAUUUAUUGGGUUUAAAGGGAGCGUAGGUGGAUUGUUAAGUCAGUUGUGAAAUUUUGCGGCUCAACCGUAACAUUGCAGUUGAAACUGGCAGUCUUGAGUACAGUAGAGGUAGGCGGAAUUCGUGGUGUAGCGGUGAAAUGCGUAGAUAUCACGAAGAACUCCGAUUGCGAAGGCAGCUCACUGGACUGCAACUGACACUGAGGCUCGAAAGUGUGGGUAUCAAACAGGAUUAGAUACCCUAGUAGUC